rnacentral:rRNA from 1 species
UACGUAGGGGGCAAGCGUUGUCCGGAUUCAUUGGGCGUAAAGAGCGUGUAGGCGGUUUGGUAGGUCCGCUGUGAAAACUCGAGGCUCAACCUCGAGACGCCGGUGGAAACCGUCAGGCUAGAGUCCGGAAGAGGAGAGUGGAAUUCCUGGUGUAGCGGUGAAAUGCGCAGAUAUCAGGAAGAACACCCGUGGCUAAGGCGGCUCUCUAGUACGGUACUGACGCUGAGACGCGAAAGCGUGGGGAGCGAACAGG